rnacentral:snRNA from 1 species
GGAUGUGGGGGCGAUCUGGCUGUGACAUCAGUCACCCCAUUGACCCCAGGGUUGAUUCAGCUGGUCUGGAUGGCUAGGCAGGUGUCCCCUUCCUCCCCCACAACUCCAUGUACAUUCUUCCCAAAGCUUCGUGCUCGGUUGAAGAGGAUGACCUUCCCCAGUAGAGGAGGGCCAGUCUUCAGUCACGGGUACAGGAGUGGCUGCACACCCCUGCUAGACCCUCCAAACAAGCUCCCAAAAGGACAUGUGCAAAAUGAAGAAACAUGCAUAUGACCAGUCAUCAGAGAAACACAAGCUGAAACACUGUGAUAUCACUUUACACACUU